rnacentral:rRNA from 1 species
GCUAGGACGAACGCUGGCGGCGUGCCUAACACAUGCAAGUCGAGCGGAGAUAUGAAGUAGUUACUAUUGAUUAUCUUAGCGGCGGACGGGUGAGUAACACGUGGGCAACCUGCCUUAAAGAGGGGGAUAACACCGGGAAAUCGGUGCUAAUACCGCAUAACAUACAUCAACCGCAUGGUUGAUGUAUCAAAGGAGAAAUCCGCUUUAAGAUGGGCCCGCGGCUGAUUAGCUAGUUGGUAAGGUAAAGGCUUACCAAGGCGACGAUCAGUAGCCGACCUGAGAGGGUGACCGGCCACACUGGAACUGAGAGACGGUCCAGACUCCUACGGGAGGCAGCAGUGGGGAAUAUUGCGCAAUGGGGGGAACCCUGACGCAGCAACGCCGCGUGGAGGAAGAAGGUCUUCGGAUUGUAAACUCCUGUCUUCCGGGAAGACAAAGACGGUACCGGAGGAGGAAGCCACGGCUAACUACGUGCCAGCAGCAGC